rnacentral:rRNA from 1 species
UACGGAGGAUGCGAGCGUUAUCCGGAUUUAUUGGGUUUAAAGGGUGCGUAGGCGGUUUUUUAAGUUAGUGGUUAAACGUCGGGGCUUCACCUUGAUUUGCCAUUAAUACUGUAAGACUCGAGUUCAGACGAGGUAUGCGGAAUGCGUGGUGUAGCGGUGAAAUGCAUAGAUAUCACGCAGAACCCCGAUUGCGAAGGCAGCAUACCGGUGCACAACUGACGCUCAGGCACGAAAGCGUGGGUAUCGAACAGG